CAGGCCAUCCAUUCAAGAUCAUCUAUCUGAGCUGCUGAAAACUGCCUCGGUACGGACAGCUUUGUGUCACUGACUGUAUUUCUUCAAAUUCCUGUUCCGUGUCACAUGGCUUAUGCAAGACUGAAUCCAUAAAGAUGCUGUAACCAUAAAGCAACCAGGACAACACACCUGGAGUGACCGAGAGCAGGAUGAAGAAAGAAUCGGACGAGAAAAUAUCAACUGGUGCCCAUGAGGAGACAUAUUGUUCUUGGACCUGCUUUUUCUGUUUAUUAAUAAGUGGUUUUAUGUGGUUAAAUAAACGUAAUUUAAUAUUCAACACACAAGCUAAAUGUCUUAGAUUUUCUUAAAGGGAUAGUUCACCCAAAAAGGAAAAUUCUGUCAUCAUUUACACAAACAGUUUGGUUACAAACAUUUUUCACAAUAUCUUCCUUCGUGUUUAUCAGAACAAAGAAAUGUAUGCGGGUUUGUAACAACAUGAGAGUGUGUAAACGAUGACAGAAUUUUCAUUUUUGGGUGAACUACCCCUUUAACAUUUUUAUACCCAGGGGUAAAAGAAAUGUAUUUUGAACAUUUUUAGUUUGCCUUUUUUUGUUACUGCUACUUUCAACAAGACUAAUUAUUCAGCCAAGCUUAUUUUGUACUUUAAGAAAUGAACAGCUUUUAUGGGUUUUAAGACCCAGAUCUGUGCUCACAGUUUGCCCAUAAAAUGCCCAGUGGUCCCACAUUUUCCCCACGUAUUUGUAUUUAAAUACACUUUUCCACACAGUAUAUUGUAUUUGUGAUAUCUGUGAAUUUGUGAUAGUAUUUUGUAUUUGAAUUUUGAAACAAUUCCAUAUAUUGUAUGCCUAUCUCAGAUCAUAUGCAUGUGAAAGGCAGUUUCUGGUAUAAAUAGCAGAACGCAAAAGGUUUUCUGUGUCAUUAGAAAUGCAGUCAAAAAGUGGGACAACAAGGAUAACUGAUCAUGAAGGUAAGAACCUUAACCAUGCCAGGUGAGGGAUAUAUUAUGGCUGAAAAAACAAUAAACCAAUUAAUGAAAUAUUCAUGUGUAUUUACCAUUUAAAUUCGUUUUACCUUAGCUGUCCUAUUUUGAAAUACGUAUUAGCCUAAUAGUAUAAUUAAUAUUAUAUAAUACAGUCUUAAAAUGAGGAUAAACCCUUGGAAAGACAUAUGAAAUAAUAUAGAAAUGUAGCCCUUUUUAUAGACGUCUUUUCAAUGAACAUGAAAAGACGUCUUUCACCUUUCAACCAAAUUUAGCCUUUUUUAGACGUCGAUUUAUAGGCGUCUUUUCAACGACAUGAAAAACACGUCACUUUUCAACCAGAAUUUCACGUCAUUAAGACGUCUGGAGAAGUCGUCAUUUCAACGUCUUUUCAACCAGAUUUUGCUGGGU